ACUCCUACGGGAGGCAGCAGUGGGGAAUAUUGCACAAUGGGGGAAACCCUGAUGCAGCCAUGCCGCGUGUGUGAAGAAGGCCUUCGGGUUGUAAAGCACUUUCAGUAGGGAGGAAGGUAGUGUAGUUAACACCUGCACUAUUUGACGUUACCUACAGAAGAAGCACCGGCUAACUCCGUGCCAGCAGCCGCGGUAAUACGGAGGGUGCGAGCGUUAAUCGGAAUUACUGGGCGUAAAGCGCAUGCAGGCGGCCUGUUAAGUCAGAUGUGAAAGCCCGGGGCUUAACCUCGGAAUUGCAUUUGAAACUGGCAGGCUAGAGUCUUGUAGAGGGGUUAGAAUUUCAGGUGUAGCGGUGAAAUGCGUAGAGAUCUGAAGGAAUACCAGUGGCGAAGGCGGCCCCUGGACAAAGACUGACGCUCAGAUGCGAAAGGCUGGGGAGCAAACAGGAUUAGAUACCCCUGGUAGCACAGAG
rnacentral:rRNA from 1 species